GGGUCCGCACAAGCGGUGGAGCAUGUGGUUUAAUUCGAUGAUACGCGAGGAACCUUACCUGGACUAGAAUGCCCUUGAUGGGUCCAGAGAUGGACUGUUCCGCAAGGACAAGGAGCAAGGUGCUGCAUGGCCGUCGUCAGCUCGUGCCGUGAGGUGUUGGGUUAAGUCCCGCAACGAGCGCAACCCUUAUUUUUAGUUGCCAACAGGUCAAGCUGGGGACUCUAAAAAGACUGCCCGCGCAAGCGGAGAGGAAGGAGGGGAUGACGUCAGGUCAUCAUGGCCCUUACGUCCAGGGCUACACACGUGCUACAAUGGCGUAUACAGAGUGUUGCAAGCUGGUGACAGUGAGCCAAUCACAAAAAGUACGUCUCAGUUCGGAUUGCAGGCUGCAACUCGCCUGCAUGAAGUUGGAAUCGCUAGUAAUCGCGCAUCAGCAAUGGCGCGGUGAAUACGUUCCCGGACCUU
rnacentral:rRNA from 1 species